UAACCCGCAAACCAGGAAGGCGUGGACACACUAUUGUAAGAGAUGGGACUUCAUACCAAGCACUGGUCAUAGACUUUGUUCCGCCAACUUUACAAAUGCAUGUUACGAUCGUGACCCAGAAGUUAUGAAGAAUCUCGAGGGUUGUCCUACCAUGAAGCCAAAACUCCGUCCAAAUGCGGUACCUGACAUUCCAUGGACACAACCAACAACAGCCGAGUCAAGGCCACCUAUACCUAAGCGGGGAGCUGAUGAGAAGCGGAGAAAGGCUGACAUCCUACAGCUUGCAUAUUGCUUGAAAGAUCGUCAAUGUCGGACUCUUCGGAUGACGAAUUUAUAUCUUCUACUUGAUUAUUUUCAACAAGUAACGGCUCAAACUGAUACGGUCGAAUAUCUUAAGUUUGAGAGUUGUCUUGAAAACUGCUGUCAACACCGUCCAUUGUUUAAUUAUGCAGAAAUGUGAUCGACUUCGUCCAUAUUGAGACAUUUUCUCAGCUUGUAUCCACUGACGUCAUCACGAUCACGUGACCGGUAUCUAAUUAAAAAUCAAAGAUUACGACAAGCGCUGGAUUAUUUGACCAUAAAAAGUCCGUUUAAUGAGGUUUUGACAAGAAAAAUUUAUUAAAAUAUGUUUUUUGACCAAUAUUAAUUAAUUAAUUAAAAAAUAAAAAAAAUUAAAAA